GCCAGUGUGGUGUAGUCGUUUGACUGUUGGACUCUGAUUCUGGAGACCAGGGUUCAAUUCCCAGCUUGGCCA